UCCGUAGGUGGAUCAAUCAGUCAGAGGUGAAAUCCUGCAGCUUAACUGUAGAACUGCCUUUGAUACUGUUGAUCUUGAGUCAUUAUGAAGUGGUUAGAAUGUGUAGUGUAGCGGUGAAAUGCAUAGAUAUUACACAGAAUACCGAUUGCGAAGGCAGAUCACUAAUAAUGUACUGACACUGAGGGACGAAAGCGUGGGGAGCGAACCGGAUUAGAUACCCGAGUAGUCC
rnacentral:rRNA from 1 species